GUUAGACUGAACAUGAUCUUUGGGCCAUUCAUAUUGCAUUAGAAAAAUGAAUUGAGGGAAUGAUCCCCCCUUACCAUCUCAAUCUAAUGCCCCAAUGGCCCAGAGGGGCAAAUAGAGCUACACUUGGAAAUAUUGCAGAAUUGUCAAAAGAACAGCAGAUCUGCAAUGUAAAUUGUGAAACAUAUGUUACAGUUCUAUUUUUCUUAUGACUGUGAACUUUGCAAUUUUUUUGUCAGGCUUGGAAACAAAAAUAAUAACAUCUAACAUUUAGGAACACAUGCUGUAUCUGUUCAAGGGUGGGGUUGUUUUCUUUCCAUUUCAUAUUCACAAUGGUCCUACAAUGAAGAUAAUAUGAUUGUCCAUGCAUUGUAUAAACUCAGAUAGGGAAAAGUUCAGUGAUUGGCUAGAGAUCAUGACCUAGUGAUCUGUCCAUUAGGGAUGCUUAUCUAGUAUUUCUUACUUACUCCUUCUAGGUGGUAUUGACUGGAACCCUCUUUUGGUGUACAUUCUAUAAAAACAAACAGAGCCAAACAAAACCUAACCAAC
rnacentral:lncRNA from 1 species